CAUCGCAUUGCGUUUUCACACAGUUUCCGCGAUAUUAUUCACAUCUUAUACACCAAUCUUGUCUUAAUGGGCGAUGUUUAAGAAGUGCAGCAGCUUUACAGAAAAUCUCAAACAGUGUGGAUCAGGCAGCCACCUUCGUGCGAGGUGUCAUGGAAUAUAAUGUGGAUGCGAACAGGGGGCCAAAUGGGGGUCAGCAAUUCAGCUCAAGUUUGGCUCACACGAGCUUGUGCUCUCGUGCCACCGAAAAGGAAAUCCCGUUUCGUUAUUUGACCUAAACCAGCGAAAAUGUUGCUAAAUAAUGGAAGUAAGUCAUCGAAACGAGAGUGGGUAAGGUGAUCAAAUGAAUAUAACUGCAGCUGCCUCUUUAAUUUUCAACGCGUCUUCUUUUUUUUUGGGUGUGUGAGAUGUUUUCUUCUUUUUUUUCCGUUGGUGAGGUAAACUCUCAUGACAUGUUGAGGAAAAUAUUUAUUUAUCAAAAACAAAUCCCAAAGACGUGCAACAACUUUGAAGAAAAAAAAACUUUUUUAUUCGUCCAGAUGAGAUGUAAUUUAUCCAAAAAAAAUAAAACAUAUUUUCUGUUCUUUUAAUUAAAAUUUUCUUUACAAUUCUUUCUUUUUUUUUCUCCAUUUCGAGAAAAAUUAUACAAUUUUGUGAUUUUAAGGUCAAUGUUUUGGAAAAUAUUAUGAAGUGUAUAGUUGUAAAAAAAAUAAGAAGUUAAGACAUAAGAAAUGUGAAGUAAUAGCUAUUAAGAGGUAGAAGACAAUAUGAUAAGAGAUUGCACAAUUUUGUACGAUUAAUUGUUGAAAAAAAAAUAGUAAAAAGAAAUAGAGAAAAAUAAACAUACAAAGUGAGAGUUAGACUAGAGGAGAGAAUAAAAAUAAAGAUGAUAGGAAGAAUUAAGAUUAAGAUAUAAAAACAACGUAAUAGACUAGAUUAGGAAUUAUUCUUCAUCAUUGAUCUCAAUUUGGAUUUUUUUCGUAAAUUUUGUUUUCUCAACUUGUGUAUGUUUGAUAAGGUAUUGAUUUUUUUCAUUUUACUUUACAUUGUAAAUUACAAAAAGAGUGUUUGUUCUCAUUUCUUCAAUAUUAUGACAUAAUUGUUAUUAAAUAAUUGCUUGUAAAUUAUGAGACUAGUUAUUUAUAUACAAAGAGUUUUUCAACUGUACUUAAUCGAAUAAAAAAUAAAUAGUGUUAACACGGGUUGGAUGCAA